rnacentral:rRNA from 1 species
AAACCAACAGGGAUUGCCUUAGUAACGGCGAGUGAAGCGGCAAAAGCUCAAAUUUGAAAUCUGGCACCUUCGGUGUCCGAGUUGUAAUUUGAAGAAGGUAACUUUGGAGUUGGCUCUUGUCUAUGUUCCUUGGAACAGGACGUCACAGAGGGUGAGAAUCCCGUGCGAUGAGAUGCCCAAUUCUAUGUAAAGUGCUUUCGAAGAGUCGAGUUGUUUGGGAAUGCAGCUCUAAGUGGGUGGUAAAUUCCAUCUAAAGCUAAAUAUUGGCGAGAGACCGAUAGCGAACAAGUACAGUGAUGGGAAAGAUGAAAAGAACUUUGAAAAGAGAGUGAAAAAGUACGUGAAAUUGUUGAAAGGGAAGGGCUUGAGAUCAGACUUGGUAUUUUGCGAUCCUUUCCUUCUUGGUUGGGUUCCUCGCAGCUUACUGGGCCAGCAUCGGUUUGGAUGGUAGGAUAAUGACUAAGGAAUGUGGCUCUACUUCGGUGGAGUGUUAUAGCCUUGGUUGAUACUGCCUGUCUAGACCGAGGACUGCGUCUUUUGACUAGGAUGUUGGCAUAAUGAUCUUAAGCCAC